rnacentral:rRNA from 1 species
GAUGAACGCUGGCGGCGUGCUUAACACAUGCAAGUCGAACGGAGUGCCUUAGAAAGAGGAUUCGUCCAAUUGAUAAGGUUACUUAGUGGCGGACGGGUGAGUAACGCGUGAGGAACCUGCCUUGGAGUGGGGAAUAACAGACCGAAAGGCCUGCUAAUACCGCAUGAUGCAGUUGGACCGCAUGGUCCUGACUGCCAAAGAUUUAUCGCUCUGAGAUGGCCUCGCGUCUGAUUAGCUUGUUGGCGGGGUAAUGGCCCACCAAGGCGACGAUCAGUAGCCGGACUGAGAGGUUGGCCGGCCACAUUGGGACUGAGACACGGCCCAGACUCCUACGGGAGGCAGCAGUGGGGAAUAUUGGGCAAUGGGCGCAAGCCUGACCCAGCAACGCCGCGUGAAGGAAGAAGGCUUUCGGGUUGUAAACUUCUUUUCUCAGGGACGAACAAAUGACGGUACCUGAGGAAUAAGCCACGGCUA